GGGCAUCUUCUAGGUGUUAGUCUCCAAAGCAUGAGUGAUCCAUCAGAUUCUUUGUAAACCUUUAUUAUCACUUCAUUUAUCAAUUACUUUCAUAAUUCUUUGGUUUCAUAAUUCUGUGGAAUUUGGAUGUUCUGUUUCCCAUAUACAUAAUCCUUGAUGCCAAAAGAUCAUGAAACUUGCUUUUUAAAUACAAUAGUAUUCUUUCAUCUUUUCUUUAGAUACAAAGACUUGCAUUGUUAUCUAACUGUUAAAGAGAAAUAAUUAUUUUGAAUUGAAAUUGUGUGAUUUAAUUAUGUGUGAUGACAAAGCUGUUGAAAUUGAGCUAUUUAAACUGCUUCUAGGGACUGUUAUUUGCAUUCUGAAUUGCAGGUAACUAAUAUGACAAGGGGACUUAUUGUUGAUGCAGACUGGACUUUAUCUAUUAUACAUACUCAUGUGUAGUUUAAUAUAUAUCCUCUGUCUUUGUGGAGCUUGGACUUUUUAUGCAUGGACUACAUAUUCCCACUGUUUUAUAACCGUGGCAAUAGAGGCCACAUAUUGCCACACUCUAUUGCCACGGUUACGCACAUGACCGUAGCAAUAUUUGGACUCUAUUGCCACGGUUACGACGUAACCGUGGCAAUUUCUGGCCUCUAUUGCCACGGUUACCAUUUACGACCUGUGGUAAUAGGCUAAUCAAUUGCCACGGUUCUCCCUUGAACCGUGGCAAUUGAGCAAUUGCCACGCAAGCUAUCGCCACGGUUAAACCAUGGCGAAAGGGCGUGCGGAACCGUGGCGAAAAGCCUUUUCUGUAGUAGUGAUUGUUGCAAAGGUGAACCGUUUGUGGCUAAGUCCGAGCUUAUAUGGAUCCAAGCUUCCAUUUUCCAUGGACAUGAUUCUUAUGGAUGACAAGAUUCAUGCUUCGGUUAGGAAGACUCUGAUAUACCGAUUCUAAUCUUUGCUAAGUGAAGGACGUGUAUAUCAGAUUUCGUUCUUUGGUGUUGGUGAAAGCGGUCGUGAUUUCCGACCAACCUCGCAUCCAUUCAAGAUCAACUUUGAUAUUCAUACAUAUGUGCGCUUGGUUCUCAACAAGGCCAUCAACUUAAGCCCGUACAUUUUUGUGUCAAUAUCUAAUAUAAUGUUCAAGUAUCUUGAUACGUCUUUUCUUAUAGAUGUCAUUGAAAUUCUCACUGGUGCAAGUGCUGAACAAGAGUUUGAAAAAGAUGGUGGGAAUCAGAAAAGAAUUACUAUUGAACUUGACCAAGAUGGGGCUCGGGUUUUAUGCGUCAUCUUGGAUCUGUUGAUGCAACUAAUGCUGUUGUUGUUGUGAGUUGUGUCAAAAUAAAGCCCUUUAAAGGUAAGACAAGUCUCCAAAAUGUUUAUGGAGCUACAAAGGUUCUUUUUAAUCCUCUCAUAGAAGAAACUGCCCCCCUCCAAACUCGGUUCUUGAAAUCACAUGAUAAUGCGGUGCAUGUCAUUAGUCCGCUGCAAGAUUCUGCAAAGAAAUCUACCCCUGAAGAUGAUUUUCUAAAGCAGAAUGAUGGGAAAACCAUCGAGCAACUCAAAGAUCUUGCACAGGUUUGGUGUUCCACGAGCGAUAGUUUUUGAAAAUGGAAUUCAAUUCACCAGCAAACAAACUCAGGAUUUUUGCGAUGGCAUGGGAAUUCAGAUGAGGUUCUCAUCAGUGAAGCAUCCUCAAACUAAUGGGCAGACAGAGGCUGCGAACAAGGUGAUUUUGAAGGGCAUAAAGAGGCGGCUAUAUGAAGCUGAAGGAAGAUGGAUUGAUGAACUCCCGAUAGUUUUGUGGUCAUAUAACACCAUGCCACAAUCAAGCAUAAAAGAAACACCUUUCUGAUUGACCUAUGGGGCAGAUACGAUGCUCCCUGUGGAAAUCAGUAAUUUCUCUUGGUGAACGAAAGCGCGACAUGAGGAGGAAAAUAGGAUGAACAUGGCGGUGGGGUGGGAAAAGCUCCCCGAAGGGGCGAUUUGAUAACGACAAAGUGUCAGGAAUUGCCUCGGAAAAGCCGGAUUUGAUUCGAUGAUUACAAAUGAUUUCACAUAUUUUCAACGUGAAUUCUUGAGGUCAACAAAAAAUAUUAAUCCCUCCAUCCCAAAUUAUAAGCUAAAAUUGUAAAAAUCACGCUUAUUAAGAAAGUCUUAAUUGAUGCAUUGGUUUUAAACAAAAAAGGUACAACUUUUCAUGUCUACCCCUAUUUAAGAUAACACUUUUUAAUCAUUAUACUACUAAUAGUGCUCCACUACCAAUAAAUGCAAGGAUAAAUAUGGAAAGAAAUAUUAGUUUUUACAACUUUGGCUUAUAUUUAGUGAAAAAACAUAAGUCACAACUUUAACUUAUAAUUAAGGACGGGGUGGUAGUACAUAGUUGAGUUUUCAUAUUUGGGCCACAAUAAACUUUUCAACAUGCUUUGUGUUGAGAAUAUGCCUAUAUAAUAGUUGAAAAUUAGAUAAUAUAUUUAGUUAAUAUUUAAUUUUCAUAUUAAGAUAUUGCUUAUUUAUUUUAUGAUAAGAUUAAGAUAAUUAGUCAUUUCUAGAACUAGAACUGUGAGUUCCGCGUUAUGGAGCAGGGGAGUGGCGAGGAGUACAGCUCGGCGGUUCAUCACACGGAGGAGGAGAUGCUGCAUUGGGGGCUCCCUCCUGACAUGGUGGCUGACCAGAAAUGGCUAGAGGAGUAUUCUUCUAGAUUAUUUUGAGAACACUGCAAUCAUGACUCACCUCAAAGUAGUUCGGUUGGGGCUUCGUUUUGUUUGUUUAUUUCCCGAAACAAGAUGGUCAGAACGAAGAACAAGAGAAGGAAGGAAGAGAAUAUAGCUGAGGAUUGGUGCUUUGCUUGCAAGGAUGGAGGGCUCAUGAGGGUGUGCGAUUAUAGGACACGGUUGAGAAUUGAGAUGAAUGAGUAGUGAUCAAUUCCUAAAAUAUUACAUAGAUAUAAUUUGUCCUGUGAGUACUUUCUUUUUGAUACUUAAUUAACUGCACGUUGCUUAAAGGGAUUGUCUUAAAGCUUAUCAUCCUCAUUGCGUGGGAAAAGUUUAUUAGCUUACUUAGUUGUUUUUCUUUGCUGUUUUCUUUGCUAUUUUGUAAUUCCUGAAUUCAUUUGCUAUGAAGGCUCACUUGUUCCCAAGACAUUUGAUCUUUUAUAUAUAUUUCUCCCUCAAAAAAAAAAUUCUGGGAAUUAUGGUCAGAUGCCCCAGUUUUUCUCUUAAACACACUAUUACUGAAACUGAAUAUCUUGGUUACUGAAAAUUCACCUGAAUAGUUGG